rnacentral:rRNA from 1 species
ACGGACUUCGGUCUGGUGGCGAGUGGCGAACGGGUGAGUAAUGUAUCGGAACGUACCUUUCAGUGGGGGAUAACGUAGCGAAAGUUACGCUAAUACCGCAUAUUCUGUGAGCAGGAAAGCAGGGGAUCGAAAGACCUUGCGCUGAUUGAGCGGCCGAUAUCAGAUUAGCUAGUUGGUGGGGUAAAGGCCUACCAAGGCGACGAUCUGUAGCGGGUCUGAGAGGAUGAUCCGCCACACUGGAACUGAGACACGGUCCAGACUCCUACGGGAGGCAGCAGUGGGGAAUUUUGGACAAUGGGGGCAACCCUGAUCCAGCCAUGCCGCGUGAGUGAAGAAGGCCUUCGGGUUGUAAAGCUCUUUCGGCCGGGAAGAAAUCGCAUAGGCUAAUACCCUGUGUGGAUGACGGUACUGGAAUAAGAAGCACCGGCUAACUACGUGCCAGCAGCCGCGGUAAUACGUAGGGUGCGAGCGUUAAUCGGAAUUACUGGGCGUAUAGCGUGCGCAGGCGGUUUCGUAAGACAGAGGUGAAAUCCCCGGGCUCAACCUGGGAACUGCCUUUGUGACUGCGAGGCUAGAGUAC